AUUAUGGUCAAUGGAAUGCAAUUAUCGCGACGUUGUCAAUAAGAAGAUGGCUAGGAACAACUAAUUCAAUAGAGUCACUUUAACGGUGCCAAAGAUCAUGACUAAUGGAACAGAACUAGUUUCUUCAAAUUUUUGACUCAUUUCGUGUUUCACAUCAAUUAACUGUGAGUAAACAUUGUCUGUGAACCAUACGAAAAUGUCCAAGAACAAUUAGGUACUUGUAUUGGGUCACUCAACGUCCCUUAAGAUAAUGUUUUUGAUUGAAACGGAGGCAGUUCCUUCGAUUUUAUUAAUUCUCCUGCUGUUUUGUGCGAUUUGACGUUUGAAUCACCUGUUAUCUAUUGAAAGAUGACCAAUGGACGCAAGCAAAUGGCAUCAAGAUAUCUCCGGAGAAGACAGAAAAAAACUGGUUGUUUCAGGAUUGACAGACAGAGAAUCGACGCUAAAAAUAAAAUCAGGUAUUUAGGAGUGAUAAUAAACAAAAAUUUCAGGUUUUAAGACCAUAUAGAGUACAUGAUAGGAAAUGCAAUUAAGAAGUCGGCACAACUACAGAAACUGAUGCACAAUGUAGGAGGCCCUGGGUACUACAAGCUCAGGAUAUUGUCUCAAGUGAUGCAUAGCAUCUUUAAUAUGCGACACCAGUCUUGAAAGAAACAUUGAAGAUAGACAAAUAUUUCCUCAUAGAGGGUGAUGCUGUACUACUGUGAGCACUAAACCACCCUCCUCUUUGAACACCACGCGAGUGAUGUACGAAAGAAUGGUAAAUACUGUCAUGUCAUCAGCGAACCUUCCAUUAUACCUAUACCUUCACCUAUUUACACAUAUUCUUCUCUAUCUUUCCUCUUCACCACUUCUAUCAUAAAGUCAGUCACCAAUUACUACACUCUCCAUCACUCUGCAUCUUUUAAUCUCUAUUAUUGGCGUUAUUUCUCCCAUUCCAUUCUCUAGCUCAUUCCUUUCAGGACUUGACCCAGGUCGUCCAUUUGGCCGCAGG